AGCCAGGAGACCGCGCUGGGCAGCGGAUGAGGUGGGGAGGCUGUGGCCCAGGGCACCUCCCCCCCGGCUUCCCUAACCCUGCCCGGUCCCACCCGAGGGGGAGGAUGGAAACACCAGCCGCGCUCUGAGACCCUCAGGAAGAUAACACCUUUCCCGCCUUAUCACCCCGCGGUCCUGCGGAGACCACUGCCUGGUCCCUUCCACGUCUCCAUCUCCCACAGAGGGGCCGAGCAGAAAAACGAGCAAUGGCGGAAAUUCUGAGGAAACUGGUCUCCAACGAAGCUUUACGAUCGAUGCAGGACAAGCUAGAGUCCUGGCUGAGGGAGUACAACACAAACUCAUGUGAUCAAAAUCUAAAUCAAUGCCUUGAACUCAUUGAACAAGUUGCCAAAGUGCAGGGACAACUCUUUGGGAUCCUCACGACCACAGCCCAGGAAGGAGGACAUUACGAUGGUGUGGAAAUAAUCAAAUCGCGCCUUUUGCCUUGGCUGGAGGCCUCCUUUACUGCUGCUUCCCUGGGAAAACCUGUUGACAGCAGGGUCCCCUCUCUACAGGACACGUUUGAUAAGGAGAGACAGAAAGAGUCUGGUGUUCGGGAGCGGGACAUACAACAAUUAGACUUUGAGUUGAACUCAACUCGUAAUCAACUCAACCAGGUUCAAGACGAUCUGGGUGCAACUGAAAAGACUCUUGAAGAAACCAAGAACAGAUCGGCCAUAUCCCUUUUGGCUGCAGAGGAGGAAAUAAAUCAGCUAAAAAAGCAGCUUAAAUCUCUUCAAGCCCAGGAGGACGCCCGCCAUAGAAACUCACAGCAUAGGAGCUCAGAGCACAGGCGCUCGGAGCAGAGGAAAUCGGAGCCAAGGGGCUCGGAGCCGAGGGGUGCUGAAAAGCGGAGCAAAGACCCGCGGAGUAUGGAAGUGAUAUCCGAUUAUGAGAAACAGCUCCGAACGCUGAAGGACGAGAUAGCCGCUCUGUCUGCGGAAAAAUCUGCACUCCAAGGAAGGUCCACCAGGAGCCGGUCUCCUAGCCCUGCCCCGCACAGCCGCAGCCAGAGCCGUAGUCAGAGCCGCAGUCAGAGCCGCAGCCAGAGCCGCAGUCAGAGCCGCAGCCGCAGCCGCUCCGCCAGCCCCUCCACCGCGGUCGCGAAGAUCAGGAGCCCGUCCCCAAAUCGCGCCAAACUGUCCAGCGUUGCGCGCAAGGCUGCCCUCCUGUCCCGCUUCAGUGACGCCUAUUCCCAGGCCCGCCUGGAUGCGCAGUGCUUGCUGCGGCGCUGCGUCGACAAAGCCGAGACCGUGCAGCGCAUCAUCUACAUCGCCACCGUGGAGGCAUUCCAUGUAGCUAAAAUGGCAUUCAGACAUUUCAAGAUCCGUGUGAGAAAAUCACUGACACCAUCUUAUGUGGAGUCAAAUGACUUUGAGGAUGCUGUCUCGGAUUAUAUCAUUUGUCAUCUUGAUCUAUAUGAUUCCCAAAGCAGUGUUAACGAUGUGAUCCGAGCCAUGAAUGUCAAUCCCAAGAUUUCAUUCCCUCCUGAAGCUGACUUUUGCCUCCUCAGUAACUUCAUCCAGGAGAUAUGUUGCAUUGCUUUUGCAAUGCAGACUUUAGAACCACCCCUAGAUAUUGCAUUUGGGGCCGAUGGAGAAGUUUUUAACGAUUGCAAGUACCGUCGCAGCUAUGACUCCGAUUUCACUGCUCCCUUGGUCUUGUAUCACAUCUGGCCUGCUCUCAUGGAGAAUGACAAUGUCAUUAUGAAGGGAGAAGCUGUCACCAAGAGAGGGGCUUUUGUACGGUGGCCUUGCAUAGUGACAAUUCAUCCCAAGUGUUUGAUUCACAAUGGAAUUCAGUGCGAUCUGUAAGUCGGUGUCGCAGCAGGAGUCUAAGUCCCAUCUGCCCCCGUAGCCAUGUUGGUUUAAGCACGAUUUCUCGCAGCCGGAGCCCUUCUCCAAUAAGAUGCGUAUUGCCCAGGUUUUAAAACCAUCAGCCGUGUUCCUUUGCCACAGUACAUCUGCAACAGUCAGCUUCCCCAGUGCCUCCAUCUGCCUGCUGUGUCUGCCUC